rnacentral:rRNA from 1 species
CGCUCCUUGUUUUACCAAAUAUAAGGAGUAGGACCUGCCCGGUGAGAUUUUUAACGGCCGCGGUACUCUGACCGUGCAAAGGUAGCAUAAUCAUUUGCCUUAUAAUUGAAGGCUUGUAUGAAUGGUUUGACGAAAUCGAUACUGUCUCUUUUUUACUUUGUAGAAUUUGACUUAAGGGUGAAGAGGCCCUUAUCUUACUGAAGGACAAGAAGACCCUGUCGAGCUUAAAGAAUAGGUGGAGAAUUAAUAUAAAACUAAAUAAAUAGAUUACUAGAUAAUUCUUUUGGUUGGGGCGACUAAGGAACAGAAAAAGCUUCCUUUAUUCUCUAUAUCUUACAGGUUAAAGAUCCAGCUAUGCUGAUUGUAGAAAUUAGUUACCGCAGGGAUAACAGCAUAAUCUCUCUUAAGAGACCAUAUCGAAAGGGGGGGUUGUGACCUCGAUGUUGGACUAGGAUAUCCUAAAGAUGUAGAAGUCUUUGAGGGUUGGUCUGUUCGACCAUUAAAAUCCU